rnacentral:lncRNA from 1 species
GUUGUCGUCUUCGCCUUCAUCUGAUUGGUUAUGGUGGGGAUGUUCUUGUUCUGGUGGUUCUUCCAUGGAUUUUGGUAGUUCUUCCUUUUUCAUUUCUGCUUCAGAGUUCGAUGCUGAUGCUGAUGCUGCCAUGGAAGCUGCACUUUGGUGAGUGGACUCUCUAACUAGAAGAAAAAGAACGAACAACAAUAUUUUUACACCAAUCUCUUCCAAUUUUCUCCUUGGAACCUAUAUGCUUCUUUUUGUAUAUUUUUCUAAAGAAAAAAAAAAGUAUUUACAUAUUCCCUUAAUUUUAGGAAAAAUAUUUACAUAACACCAAAAUUAAAAAUGUCCAUAUUUAGGGAUAUAACAAGGUAUUAGUGUGGAAAUAUUCAUAAAACCUCCGUUUGGAUGGAUAUUUAAGAAACCAACUCCGAAAAAACAAAAAUAGAUUUAAAUAUAUAAAUAAAUAUUUUACAACUUUUAAACGGGUUAAGAUAUCAAUAAUUAUCUAUCAAAUUGAAAAUAUAAUAAAGUUCAUUAAUACUAUACUCUAUCGUUCGUCAAUGAACUUUACUCUAUACUAAAUUUUAUCAUAUUAUCAAUAAACUUAAGUAAUGUUAUCAAUGAAAAUAUAAACUUUUUAAGUUUGGUUGUGAUGUUUAGAGUUUAAGAUUAUUGUUAAUACAUGAAUUGACUAAGAUAUUAUACUUCCAAUCACAAGUCUAGAAAUUUGCAUUAUUAAUUUCCUCGUGUUUAACCUAAAAAUCACCUUGCAAAAGUCCACUACCACAUCCUAGAGUCUGUCAUAUGGAUGGAUUCCAACCUAUGCAUACUAAAAAGAAAACAUACAUUAAUUAAGCACAUCCACUCUUCUACAUCCUAUACUAUAAAAGACUUAGAAUUCAGCCCAAUUUUUUUAAAAGAAUUAAUACGUGACAUAUAUUAUAUUGCACACAUAUAUUUGUUGUUAUGAGAAAAUUAUUUAUCUAAAUUUUCUCAUAAAAGAUACUUAUUUAAAAAAUAAAAAACCAAUAAGAAAGUGCCACGUUUUCAUAUUGGACGGUGAAUGGUUGGAAGGCUAAAUUCAAUUUUGGCUCUUUCCCUUUUGUCGUCAUCCUGUGGGUCCAGUUAGGAUGCCACUCCCUAAAGCACAAGUGGCCGCCCGUUAUUGGUUGUAAAGACUUUGCAAAUUUGCUCUUUGGUUUUUUUUAGAAAUUAUAAAUUUAGCCCACACUUACUAUUUUUACAAAAGUAACUCACUAUUUCUCGCGGUCUUCAUUUCGGAUGGAAAAUUAUCAAUUUAAACUUUUAAACUUAAAUUGUGUCCGUCUAAAGUCUAGAGUUUAAGCAGAAUAUUAUAUCAAUUUACACGUUGUACUAUGUUUUUAGAGUAAUUAUGAUUGGUGGUAAAUUAUGAAGAAUAAUUAAGUUUAUAACAAUAUUUUAAAAAAUUACAAAUAUAGCAAACGAUAAUAAGGUGAAAAAAGGAAAAUUAUAUUUAUUGUCCCUAAGUUUUAAGUUAGUUUUCAUUUUCUUCUUAAAGAAAAAACAUUACAUUAAGUCCUUUUAUAGACAUGUCUACACAUUUUCUUGAUGAUGGCUCAAUUGCUUUUUGCAAACAGGUUUGGGUCUCAAUGUGGGCUGUCACGAUUUAGAAUGACUUUUUCUUUAUACGAUCAAAUGCCGAUGUGUUUCAAUCAACCUAUAUAAACUCUAUACGAAAUUUGAAAGGUAAAAUCUUAAGAUUGAGUGUAAUAUUAUGUUUUCAUUUUAAAUAAUUAAUAAUAUUU